GGUUGAGCAAGACUUCACGAAAGCGAAACUGGAACCAGCAAUGGAGAUGUUUAGGCCUUGUAGUUGCACAGCAGCAGUGCGUCGAAGAAAAUUCCUGCCGGAUGGAACGGCGACUUCGCUCCAGGCAGCGGGCGUGGUGACGGAACCGGAGUCCACGGCGGCCCCGCAAUGUGGCACUUCAGCUGUCCGUGGAUAGCAAGACACAUGUGCUACGCAUUGUAGAGUAGUGGCAGGAUUACGUGAUACUCGUACGUGGGAGGUGCUGACAAGAUCAAGCAACAGCGCACCCAAGCAAGCCCUGUCCUGCCCCCGAGGAGCACCAAUGUUCACGCAGGACUUACAACAGUUCGCGCCGUGACUUUCUAUAGAGCGGCCAUAACCGGCGGAAUUAUUCGGAAUGCACUCAUGGACAUUUAAUAAAGGAAUGAAACGAAGCUU